rnacentral:rRNA from 1 species
UACGUAGGGUCCGAGCGUUGUCCGGAAUUAUUGGGCGUAAAGAGCUCGUAGGCGGUUUGUCGCGUCUGCUGUGAAAACCUAAGGCUCAACCUUGGGCUUGCAGUGGGUACGGGCAGACUAGAGUGCGGUAGGGGUGACUGGAAUUCCUGGUGUAGCGGUGGAAUGCGCAGAUAUCAGGAGGAACACCGAGUGGCGAAGGCAGGUCACUGGGCCGCAACUGACG